ensembl:lncRNA
AUGUUUGCAGUUUUUACUGCUAGUUGUUUGUUUAAAUCACCUCUCACUAACUUUUUGUUCUUGUUGUGUGUUAUUUUAAUCAUGCAGUCAUCAUGUAACUGUAUUGUGUCCACGCCUGCUGACUGUGUUUUUCCUGGAGAGCUGCUCUUGCUCUCCUGGACUCGGUGUCGGAGUUGAUGUGCACUGAGGAUCUCUGGUGUGUCACUUUUCACACCGAAGCGUAACCAAACCACUGAAGUCGACACACACAAUGAUUGAAAAGAGAAGACAAUCCCGAAUCAGUAUUUACAAUAACUGUGUGUGAGCGCCAUGGUUACAGACGAGGAGAAAGGCUUAUUGUUUUGGCCCUGAGCAGGUGUGUUUUGCAGCUCAGCACUAAAUGGUUUGUGUGACACAUCUUGCAUUCUGUUACUGGAGGGUUGCGGAUUAUCCAUGUUAUCGGCCACAUCUGUAAAAGUCUGAUGGACAGUCCAGUCAAUGCUUCACAUCAUGUCUACACCAGACGCGACAGGUUCUACAUAACUACAUACAGCAUCAGGCGCAUAAACAUUUUUAUAACUCAUUCCAAGCAGUGCUGGUGCAUUAUUGAUCACAAGAAAUGUCUUUUGGAAAUAAUUGCAGUUCUAAAUAAGCUUUAGCAAGUAGCUACAGUUUCUUGAGUAGUUGGAAUGAGUGAUUACAGUUCAUCUUAGGAUUGCAAUGGCCAGGUAAGAACCAGCAGUGCUAACAGAUACAGGACAAAUGUACAGCUUAAUGACCAUUUUACAUCCAGCAUGUCUUAUUUUGUCUUACAUACAAUAUUAAUUUGUUUGAAAGUAAUUGCCAAAUUUUGAACCAGAAACAGCUGCAUACUGUUUAUAUUGUGCAUGCUCUGUAUUCCAGUUGGCAUCUCGAAAAUGCACAUGUACAGUAUAUAUGUAGAACAAAUCAGGCAAGAAUGAGCAUAACCAAAAACAGACAGUGAUUUCGGAAACAACGCCCUGAAGUUUGCAGUGAGUAUAAACACUGAGUAUAUAGAGGAAUGAGAAACAGGUGAUUGUAAUUAACUGUUCAGUUUGGAGGUCCAGCGAGAUGGUCCUUUGGUGGGGAGCUGUAAGAGUAGCAGGUCUGAAUGUGACAGGUUCUCCUCUAUGAGUCGCUCCUGAUGCUGAACUUGUGUAUCUCCUGGGUUUUCCUCUCGGUUUAGAAGUAGUAGUAGAUUGUUGAAUGGCUCUGGAACAAAUAGGAUUACCAUUAGCAGCUGUGACUUGAACAGGCUGAAGUAAAUGAGUUGUGGGAAUGUGAAGCUAUUGAAACCUGGUCAGUGUCAGUGGAAUUUCUGGCUGCUCUCGAUUUUCUUUGUGCUGCAGUGUUACACUUUUGAAAGAAACACAAAAAUGAAAGUUUGCUGAAAAUUCAAUCCAAGAUUUAGACGAGUAUGUUUCUUCAUCAUAAAUUUAGCAUUACAUCACUUGCUCACCAAUGGAUCCUGUGCAGUGAAUGGGUGCCGUCAGAAUGAGCGUCCAAACAGCUGAUAAAAACAUCAAAAUAAUCUGCAAAUAAUCCACUGCUUGUUAAUACAUCGAGACAUUUUUAACUUCAGACUAGUUUUCUAACCAUAAUUUUGCUUUCUCCAGUGAAAAUGCCAUCUCAUCUGAAUCAGGAGAGAAAUAUGGCCAGAUUAAGCACUGUUUAAAUCGAUAUUAUAGCCAGUUUGGCAAACAUUUUUAGAUGCAAAAUGUUUUAUGAAAGGCAAGUACUUGUCUGAAAAAUUGGAGAACCAUUGUCAUAGACAAUAUUUACUUUAGAGAAUAUUAAAUCAAACCUGAGACCUUUUUUAUUGUUGUGUAGCUCGUUGUGCCAUGUAUUAGUGCAACUGUAAAAGAUACUAUCUUUGCUUUAUUUGGAAACAAAGCUGGAAAUGGUUGGCUGUUGCGUUGUUGCCAGAGGACAUUUCAAUUAGACAAAUGUUUUCUCUGAAUCAUUGCUUGAUCCAUUUUGGGGCAAAGUCUUCAAUCUCACUCAGAUGAAAACCGAGGAUCCACAUGCAAAGAUUUAUUUACAGUUAAGCUAAACAAAAUCCGGAAUCCAGCACACAUAAGUAGUAUAAACCACGCAAGAACCAGAAUAAACAAAACAGACAGUGACA